GACGAACGCUGGCGGCGUGCUUAACACAUGCAAGUCGAACGGAAAGGCCCUGCUUUUGUGGGGUGCUCGAGUGGCGAACGGGUGAGUAACACGUGAGUAACCUGCCCUUGACUUUGGGAUAACUUCAGGAAACUGGGGCUAAUACCGGAUAGGAGCUCCUGCUGCAUGGUGGGGGUUGGAAAGUUUCGGCGGUUGGGGAUGGGCUCGCGGCUUGUCAGCUUGUUGGUGGGGUAGUGGCUUACCAAGGCUUUGACGGGUAGCCGGCCUGAGAGGGUGACCGGCCACAUUGGGACUGAGAUACGGCCCAGACUCCUACGGGAGGCAGCAGUGGGGAAUAUUGCACAAUGGGCGGAAGCCUGAUGCAGCAACGCCGCGUGCGGGAUGACGGCCUUCGGGUUGUAAACCGCUUUCGCCUGUGACGAAGCGUGAGUGACGGUAAUGGGUAAAGAAGCACCGGCUAACUACGUG
rnacentral:rRNA from 1 species